UCAAUUCAGGAUGGUGCAUAUGUGAAAACGUGCCCGAAUACACACAUAUUCCCUACCUGGAUUGACU
rnacentral:pre_miRNA from 1 species